CAUGCCUGUAAUCCCAGUGGCUUAGGAGACUAAGGCAGGAGGAUUGUGAGUUCAAAGCCAGCCUCAGCAAAGUGAGGCACUAAGCAACUCAGUGAGACCCUGUCUCUAAAUAAAAUACAAAAUAGGGCUGGGGAUGUGGCUAAGUCAGUGGUCUAGUGACCCUGAGUUCAAUCCCCAGUACCAAAAAAAAUAAAACACUGUGGGGCCAACUCUGGACCUUAGCUCCAUGAUAUCAGUGCAGGUCCUCUUUGCCAUUUCUCUGGCUCAUCAGGGCUACUGUUCAGCAUAUGUGGAUUGGAAGCAUCUUCAGGAUAAAGACUGUGAUCUGUGAAUUUCAACACCCACCUAGCACCUAGUCCCAGAUCUGGCAUACCACAAUGUUAAACAUGGAAUGAAUGAAUGAACUUUACAUGGGAUGAGCCACACAAGCACCAACCAAAUCAGGACCAGAGACAGAGAAGGCUACAGACUUCUGGACUUUGGCUUGGCAUCACCACCAGUAGGGAGGCAUCUCAGGAUUAAGGGCAGCAAACUAAAAGCCUUAGGAGAUGUGUGAGGCACACUGGUGGGAACUGGAGGUAGGAGGAGGAAAGGAUGCAUGGGGGAGGAACAGGUGGUUGAGUAGGUGAGUUGAGGGCAGAUAUGCACAGUCUAAGGCGUAUUUUGCAGGUAAUGAUGAACCUGAAGUGGUCUAAGCAGAGGCAGGGAAAUCAGUGAAGAUUACGGUGAUGGUAUAAGCAGGAAGAACUUGCUCUCAGGGACAAGGGGGAGGUGGAAGCAGGGGAUCUGAUGCAGGCUCCCAAGGUGGCCCCUUCCUCAGUGUGACCCAGAUGCUGCUUCCCAUGCAGAAGUAUGACUUGGCCUAUUCUGAGACCAAAAUACUUGACAGAUGUUUCUUGACUGUCUACCUAGUCUCAGCACUGUAGAAUAUUGAACACCUUUCAGGAGGUCCCAAAUGUAAUGCCUCUUUUCCCUUUAACCUCUUGACGCACUUUGCUCCAUUGUCCACAUCUCCCCAUUGGUGGGGAGCCACAUUGAGUUCCCUCGCCUUCCAUCAUGGAAAUCUGAAAGAUCUUGUGACUCGGUCUUUUCCCCUGCUCGGAUAGCAAGGCCAGUCUUCUGAGUGGGCAUAACCCUGGGUAUGAGCCACACUCACCUAUUCUAUUAUAAUCCUACCCCUUUGCCCUGUUUGGGAUAGAAUGUUCCAUGGAAACUCCCUUUGUGUGUCCCCUUCUCUUGCUCUGCCUUUGGGUGUGGCCUUCCUAGAUGUCAGUCAAUCUGCUGACAGCAGACAUCAUGAAGCUAGACUCAACUCCCCCAAAACCUGACCCCUUGCCUCAUUUGAAUGGCUUCCCCCCAAUAAAAAGGUUCAGCCCGUGCGCAUGCGCUCUCUUUCUUUCCACGGAUGCCUAAGGUCAGAGGAGCCAUCACAGGACCCAAAGAAAAAGCUUUUUCCUUAAGACUGGAAUGAGAUAAGGGUAUCUCCUAUCACUCCUUCAAGUCAACAUUAUAUUGAAGAUCUUACCAGUGCAACAAGAAAAACAAAAUGAGGUAAAGAUUAUCAUAAAUGUUAUUAACAAAACAAACAGACACAACAAACUAUAUACAAGGGAAGAUUGAUUAUAUUGACAGAUUCAUCAACAAUAAAAGCUGGAUGAAUUAAGGUA